rnacentral:rRNA from 1 species
AGCGAACGCUGGCGGCAGGCCUAACACAUGCAAGUCGAACGAAGUCUUCGGACUUAGUGGCGGACGGGUGAGUAACACGUGGGAACGUACCUUUUGGUUCGGAACAACUCAGGGAAACUUGAGCUAAUACCGGAUAAGCCCUUAGGGGGAAAGAUUUAUCGCCGAAAGAGCGGCCCGCGUUAGAUUAGCUAGUUGGUGAGGUAAAGGCUCACCAAGGCUACGAUCUAUAGCUAGUCUGAGAGGAUGAUCAGCCACACUGGGACUGAGACACGGCCCAGACUCCUACGGGAGGCAGCAGUGGGGAAUCUUGCGCAAUGGGCGAAAGCCUGACGCAGCCAUGCCGCGUGAAUGAUGAAGGUCUUAGGAUUGUAAAAUUCUUUUACCAGGGACGAUAAUGACGGUACCUGGAGAAAAAGCCCCGGCUAACUUCGUGCCAGCCGCCGCCGUAACAC